rnacentral:rRNA from 1 species
UGAGGAAUAUUGGUCAAUGGGCGAGAGCCUGAACCAGCCAUGCCGCGUGCAGGAUGACGGCGCUAUGCGUUGUAAACUGCUUUUGCAGGGGGGUAAAGUCGGGUACGUGUACCCGUUUGAAAGUACCCUGCGAAUAAGGAUCGGCUAACUCCGUGCCAGCAGCCGCGGUAAUACGGAGGAUUCGAGCGUUAUCCGGAUUUAUUGGGUUUAAAGGGUGCGUAGGCGGCGCUUUAAGUCAGUCGUUAAAUCGCGAGGCUCAACCUCGCAAUGGCGAUUGAUACUGGAGUGCUGGAGAUUAUGUGCAGCGGGCGGAAUGAGUAGUGUAGCGGUGAAAUGCUUAGAUAUUACUCAGAACACCGAUUGCGAAGGCAGCUCGCUAACAUACAUCUGACGCUGAGGCACGAAAGCGUGGGGAUCAAACA